rnacentral:rRNA from 1 species
CGUCUAUAUACGUAUAGCAUAUCAAUAAGCGGAGGAAAAGAAACUAACAAGGAUUCCCUUAGUAACGGCGAGUGAAGCGGGAAGAGCUCAAAUUUGAAAUCUUCAAGGUUCUACCUUGACGAAUUGUAGUUUAAAGAAGUGCUUUUCUGUUAGAGGAGUAGCAAAAGUUCCUUGGAAUAGGGACAUCAUAGAGGGUGAGAAUCCCGUAUUUGACCAUUAUUUUCUAGCUGUGUGAUACACUUUCAAAGAGUCGGAUUGUUUGGGAAUGCAGUCCAAAAUGGGUGGUAAAUUUCAUCUAAAGCUAAAUAUUGGCGAGAGACCGAUAGCGAACAAGUACCGUGAGGGAAAGAUGAAAAGAACUUUGAAAAGAGAGUUAAACAGUACGUGAAAUUGUCAAAAGGGAAGCGUUUGACACCAGCGUUGUUUUUCCGAAAAUCAAUUAAGAGUGGCUUGAUUUUGUGUUGUAUUGACCUUAUCAGCUUUCUUCACUCUUUUUCGAGUCUUUCUUAAUGCACUUUUCGGUUAACAAGUCAACAUCAAUUUCUUUUGUUGUAAAAGGGUAUUUGGAAGGUGGCUUUCUUUUCGGAGAAAGUGUUUAUAGCCUUAUACCUCUACAAUCGGAGAGAUUGAGGUCUGCAGCGUAGAUCCUUCGGGGCUAGAUACACUUGUGCUAAGUUAUAGCUUUUCAUAGACAACUUGUUGACUAUGUUUAGUCAUGUAGCUUACCCGCUUGUGCUAUUUUACCUACGCUUAGGAUGUUGAGUCAUCACACAUCUC